rnacentral:tRNA from 1 species
GGCUCGUUGGUCUAGGGGUAUGAUUCCUGCUUCGGGUGCAGGAGGUCCCGGGUUCAAAUCCCGGACGAGCCU